rnacentral:rRNA from 1 species
AUGGAGAAGUCCAUGACGACGUCGGAGACGACGCAGGUCACGGGCGGGCCGCCUGCGUUGAGGUCCACGAGGAGGCGGCGGAAGGGCCCGAGGCAGGUCUCCGUGGUGGACUUGCACAGCGACGCGACGUCCUGCGUGACGUCGUCGUCAGACGGCGGCAGGCCGUCCGGGAUGGUGGCGAAGCGGAAGCCCGGGACGCCGGCCACCGCGGCGGGGCCGCGGGAGCGAACGAGGCGGGCGUGGUUGUACUCGGUGUUGACGAAGGUGACGUGGAAGCCGCGGGCGUGGAGCAUCUUGGCAACGUCGAGCAUCGGGAUGAUGUGCCCCUGCGCGGCCGCCGGCAGGCACACGGCGUGCGGUCUCUCGGCCGGCGCCGGCGGUGCAGAAGAAGCCAUUUCCCCGUGCUUUUGGAGCCGAGACCAAGACAGAAAGGGUUUUUGUUGCUGCCGAGGAUUCGAGUACUUGGGUGGCUCUAUCUCAGCAUUGUGUUCGAUUUAUUUAUAG